rnacentral:rRNA from 1 species
UGCAAGUCUGGUGCCAGCAGCCGCGGUAAUUCCAGCUCCAAUAGCGUAUAUUAAAGUUGUUGCAGUUAAAAAGCUCGUAGUUGAACCUUGGGCUUGGUUGGCCGGUCCGCCUUUUUGGCGAGUACUGGACCCAACCGAGCCUUUCCUUCUGGCUAACCUUUCGCCCUUGUGGUGUUUGGCGAACCAGGACUUUUACUUUGAAAAAAUUAGAGUGUUCAAAGCAGGCCUUUGCUCGAAUAUAUUAGCAUGGAAUAAUAGAAUAGGACGUUAUGGUUCUAUUUUGUUGGUUUCUAGGACCAUCGUAAUGAUUAAUAGGGACGGCCGGGGGCAUCAGUAUUCAGUUGUCAGAGGUGAAAUUCUUGGAUUUACUGAAGACUAACUACUGCGAAAGCAUUUGCCAAA